rnacentral:misc_RNA from 1 species
UUUUAGACUUGCUCUGCCAUGCCGGGCUCCCGUGGGUAUGCGCGGCCAACCGACAUGGGGCUGUCUCUUCACUCUCCCUCCCGUCAGCACAUCUGUCGGGGCGGGGAUGCACGUUAUCGGUUGCCUGUGCGGUUCUACCCCCCCCUGGGUAGCGAAGCGGUCCCUCGAUAGAUUUCUGCUCGCCCGGAUGACGCCGUUCUGCGUCGCCGGGGCAGCCGAAACGUCGGCCGAAUCCCGGCGCUGCCGCGCGGGCGAACGCCCGUGCCGUCGGCGCCCGGACCUCGGCCGGCUCUCACGGAUGCGGUGCCCAUCGUUAGCUCUGCGGGUCUUCGGUCCCGCAGGCUCCGAGAGGUCCGCUGCACGGAUCACCGCGGUCACGUGCACGCGGGAUGCCUCUCCGACCCGUACGUACGAGCAGCGACCGCCGGUCCGCGUCAUGCGAAGGGCCUCCCUCCCCUCCCGUUGGGGUCGGUCCCGGGAACUGACGCGCCGGCUCUCGCUUAAGACGUGC